UGCAUGCUGCAGAGUUCUAUAUUUCUUUGAAUUUGGUUUCAGUUUGCUUUACAUGACAACAGCGAUAAGGAAGAUACCAGGAAAAGUUUGUUUUAAUAUUUUACUGAAGAGUUCAAUUUUGAUCUUCAAGAAUUUGGCAGUAUCACAAGAGAAACUGGAGGCUGCUUAGCAAGUAAAAGCACUGGAUGUGGGUUUUCCUUAUCUUGGAUCAAGGUCCAUUUUUCUCUAGGUCAUCAGAAAAACGUAGCCCAGGGCAUUGACCUAGAAUAGGGGUUCCAAGAUUGUGGUCUGUGGACUACCAGUGAUCUGUGAACUUCAUUCAAGUGGUCUGUGGAUUUAUGUUUGAAGGCGAGAUAGCACAUCCAUCAUAUUAAAUGUUCAUAUUGAUUUAUAA